UCCUCUUCCUCUAUUCCCAUCGUUCCCCUCUCAUUUUCCUCAUCUUCAUUCGCCAACGCAACUGUGUCCACGGGAGACGCUGGAGACGAUGCACAGCCGGGUCCUGCUGCAAAGCUUCCGUCGUCCGGGCACUCCGAUGCUGCCGGAGAAGGCACUGUCGUGCUCGCUGUGCAAGCUACGGGUUUUGCAAGGCAGGGGCUCACCGCUGCUAGCCAGCACGAGCUGCUCGAAGGGCUGGGCAACAACACUGGUGACACCGUGUGUCACAACAGCCCCGACCUUUUUUUGUAAGGUGACCAGAAACAUUGGUUGCUACAGCUUGAGGAGUGUAGUUGGUGCUCCAAGCCGACUACCUGCGGCUCUCCGUAGUUACUCACGCGACGCGGGAGUGCUAUUUUGGUUGCUGGAGACGCUGUGCAUGUGGGGAUGGAAGUGAUCUUGUGGUUCUGUCAUCAGCGAAUCUAAUGGCCCAAAUCAUACUGUAUUGACGAAUUUUCUAUUCCUCAAGGGGCUGUCGUCCUCUUGCUGAUUGGAUUUUGCUUCUUCCUUCUGUUCCCUUCCUCUGGUUCGUUGAUGCCUCAAGCAACCACUGCCGAUUGUGUGCUUAUCGGAUAUCUGUAGUUGUUCCUUCAUAGCCUCCCAUUGAGUUUAUUUCGUUUCUUCCUCUGCUUGUACGACCGCGCCUUCCCACUUCAGCAGCCCGCCACCCCGGCUUUCCUACCUUCGACCGCGUCUGAAGAGGAGCUGUAGCUAUGCCACGAGCAGGCCAUCCCAGCAGCUGUCGCUGCCCCUCUGUCCUCUCUCUCAGCUUUUUCCUUCUCCUUCUCUCUGUCACUAAUCUUUGUUUUCUAUAUGGAAGGAAGUCGCCAUGGAACGAUCCCCGCUGCCUUGGAGCUCGCCCCGCGUUCGGCCCACCACCUCUCUGUCGGCCUCGACCUCCUCCGCCUCGAUCCGUCCGCCCCGCCGCCGGAUCCACGCCGGAGCUGCCGUGUCCGCCGCCCAGACCACCAAUCAAGAGUCACCUCUUGCAUGUCGUGCGGUCGGGAGGAGGGCGACCGAGAGGAGCACCCAUUCAUCUGCCGCAUGGGCCGCCUUGGAGCUCGCCUUGCCUUCGGGCCGCCACCUCUCCGUCGGCCUCGUGCUCCUCCGCCUCGAUCCAUCCGCCACACCGCCGGAUCCGCCGCCCAGAUCACCAACCAAGUGCCGCCUCUUGCCUGUCCUGUGACCUGGUCAAAUAACAAAACUGCAGGGUCCUUUUUGUAAGAACGAAUCGUUUUUUGGGAUUAGCCACUUUAAAAUAGGACCGCGGGUGAAUUUCAGAAAUAGAGAGACCUUUUUAUAAAGUUGUCGCGACGACGUACGACCAGAAACAGUAUGUGCUAUAUAUAUAUUCUAUUCUAAUCCCAGGAUUAGAAUAGUUAUUCUGAUCACGGACGGCUCUAUAUAAGGCGCGCGGAGGUCCUCCGGAACCCGAGGAGGAAAAAGAAAGAACACUCCCACUAGUCCACCGCCCCCUCCCCGAUCCCCAACCUCCCCCGAUCCAGCGCCAUCUAGCUCUCGUCCCCUGCAACAACCGCCGCGCGGCCGACCCACCUUCCGACCACCGCCGCGGCACCAUCCCAACCGACGCGCCGCCGUCCCGGCUCCUCACCACCUCCCCUUGAAGCGCCGCUCCGCCUCCCACCUGGAUCCCCCUCGCUCUGGAUCCCGUCUAGUCCCGCCUCCGCGCUUCGCCCCACUCGCAGCGGCGCCGCCGCCCUCGCCGAGCACCGUGCCACCGAAGCCACACGAGCUCGCGGUCUACUGAGCCUGAGAUGGCAUCGGCCGCCGCCGCGGCCGGUCAUCGGAGGCCUCCGGGGCCGACGCACCCUGAACCACCAGCACGCGCCAUGGAUGCCCACACCAACGAAAGUCCGCACAGGAGGGCCUGGUAGCAGCACCUUCAAUGGGGAUUGGGCGCUACCUGCAGCUGAAGGAGGCAUCAGCCUGCAGCUGGUGGGAGCAUCGACCUGCAGCUCGCCGCGCACACCACUGCGACCCACUACCACCGCGGCCCACCACCUACAGCCGGCGCCGUAGCACCUAGGCCAUUCAACUAUGCCACUCAGGCCGUUCAACCCCCACACCGUGCUCCUCGUGGAUGACCCCCGUCAUCAUUGACUCCAUUCACUUCCUUCCGCUGUAUGCGGCCAGCUCUAUGAGGUACUCGCCUGUACUCUGUCUAGGGGAACGUUGUGAGCUCGUCAGGCUAUGGCUGCUUCUCUGCUGGUAUAUACUUCUCUGUUGUUCAUCUUAGUAGAUGUUAAAAAAAGAAUCCUUAACAAUUGGGUCUGCAUCUGCAUUAAAGAGAGUCCCUUCAGAGUUUUGAUUCGUUAGUUCAUUUCAUAUCAUUUAAAAAGAAUUAACCGUGUAGAAUGUGAGGAAUUGAGAUUAGAGUUCAUUUUUUUCCUGAAAAAAUAGGACAUUUUUUAUCUCAGCAUGCUUACCAUAUUUACAGAGAAUAGACAAUGUUUUACCAUGUUUCUUGGUUAUCAAAAUAAGUGUUCUCCAUCGUUUUCAUGAAUGGCUUAAAUGAUGAAAAACAUGUUGUACUCCCUUCCGGUGCUAUGUGUGUGGAAGAUCAUCUCUGUGCCUCACCUGUCUUGUUCUUCUGCUCUCUAAGAUACUAUCUUAAGCUUGUAUAGCUUGUCAGACCAAAUAAAAAACGUACUAAUCUGAAGUUCAAAGAUGAUAAAAAAAGAAGAUGUGGGGAUCUAGGAUCUAGUGGUUUCCAGUAAGGUAAGUUGAAGCAAAAAUUCUGCUUUGAUUUCAAAGUUGUGAAGUAUCAGACUAGAACAUUUGUUAUCUCAUAAUGCAUAGUUGCAUACAGUAAGUUACAACACGCCUCUGAACAUUACUUUCUCAGCCGCAGCCAUGGGCCUUUGCCCUGAUGUACAGACUCGGAUGACCUCCCGGCACUGUACCUCCGGCCUGCGACCUCCCCUUCUACCACGUCUCCACCGCCCACCACCGCUGCUACCUCCCGGUCAUAUGAAACGGGGGUGCCGCAGUCUAAAUUGUGCCACACCAGCAGGACGGCUCGUCCAGGAUCCUCUGUGCCACUCUGCUGCUCGCUACAUACAUGAACAGAGGGAGGGAGAAGUUCACUACAUGGCAGCCGAGAAGGUCACACAUGAGGUGCAGGGGACAUGGGUGUCGCCUUUCGGAAGAUGGUCUGAGUUCAUGAAGAUGGUCUGCGUUCGUGAGAAUUAGUGUUGUUGCUGGGAUGUAGUGUUGCUUCUUGUGAGGCCGCGUCCAGCCAGUAUCCUCCUCUUCCUGGGCGUCCGCCUCUGCAUCCCCGUGGAACUUCUCUAUCCAUCCAGCAAAAAAAGAGCUCCCUCCUGUAGUUCUUUGCAUCUACUAUAGAAAAAAUGCAUUUGCCGUAGAAGUUCAGUAAUAGCUAGAAAGGAACAACUAUAGUACUCUCUAUGCAUGUGUUGUGUUUGGAGAGGCACAGUUUAAAUUUUGAUUUUGGGCUUGGAUGUACGAGGUGUAUGACGAAGGUGAUACAGUGAAGUGAAGUCCAUUUGGAUAUGUGAAAUUUCGUGAGGCAUAAGAAGGGAAUAAGAUCGUUACUUUAUUUGGCCCCCAUUUGUA